UACGUAGGGGGCUAGCGUUGUCCGGAAUCAUUGGGCGUAAAGAGCGUGUAGGCGGCCCGGUAAGUCCGCUGUGAAAGUCGGGGGCUCAACCCUCGAAUGCCGGUGGAUACUGUCGGGCUAGAGUGCGGAAGAGGCGAGUGGAAUUCCUGGUGUAGCGGUGGAAUGCGCAGAUAUCAGGAGGAACACCAAUAGCGAAGGCAGCUCGCUGGGACGGUACUGACGCUAAGGCGCGAAAGCGUGGGGAGCGAACAGG
rnacentral:rRNA from 1 species